GACGAAGGGGGCUAGCGUUGUUCGGAAUUACUGGGCGUAAAGGGCUCGUAGGCGGCCAACUAAGUCAGACGUGAAAUCCCUCGGCUUAACCGGGGAACUGCGUCUGGUACUGGAUGGCUUGAGUUUGGGAGAGGGAUGCGGAAUUCCAGGUGUAGCGGUGAAAUGCGUAGAUAUCUGGAGGAACACCGGUGGCGAAGGCGGCAUCCUGGGCCAACACUGGCGCUGAGUGAGCGAAAGCCAGGGGAGCAAACGGG
rnacentral:rRNA from 1 species